UUCCCUGUGAGGAGGAUCUCCCAAAUAUAGAUAGGAAGUGCCGUAUGACACUUUAAACGCAGCGCCGAUUCAAAGAACUGAUCUCAUCCACCGAUAGCAGUACACUCUUAGUGAGUUACUGUUAUCGGUCGGGAUCUUUCUUUUUCGGCGCUGCGUGUGUGAUUUGGAACGGGUCGCUGAGGGUU